GAUGAACGCUGGCGGCGUGCCUAAUACAUGCAAGUCGAGCGAACGGACGAGAAGCUUGCUUCUCUGAUGUUAGCGGCGGACGGGUGAGUAACACGUGGAUAACCUACCUAUAAGUCUGGGAGAACUUCGGGAAACCGGAGCUAAUACCGGAUGAUAUUUUGAACCGCAUGGUUCAAAAGUGAAAGACGGUCUUGCUGUCACUUAUAGAUGGAUCCGCGCUGCAUUAGCUAGUUGGUAAGGUAACGGCUUACCAAGGCAACGAUGCAUAGCCGACCUGAGAGGGUGAUCGGCCACACUGGAACUGAGACACGGUCCAGACUCCUACGGGAGGCAGCAGUAGGGAAUCUUCCGCAAUGGGCGAAAGCCUGACGGAGCAACGCCGCGUGAGUGAUGAAGGUCUUCGGAUCGUAAAACUCUGUUAUUAGGGAAGAACAUAUGUGUAUGUAACUGUGCACAUCUUGACGGUACCUAAUCAGAAAGCCACGGCUAACUACGUG
rnacentral:rRNA from 1 species